rnacentral:tRNA from 1 species
UGAGGAUGCGUCUCAGUGGUAGAGCACUUGCCUAGCAAGCAUCCACCCUGGGUUUGAUCCCCAGCACCACAA